UCCGAGUUGACCCCGGCAGUCUUCGAUGAGUCCCCGGCAUAACCCGCUGGCAACAUCGAACAAGGGUUGCGCUCGUUGCGGGACUUAACCCAACGUCUCACGACACGAGCUGACGACAGCCAUGCACCACCUGUGAACGCCCCCGAAGGACACCACAUCUCUAUGGUUUUAGCGCCCAUGUCAAACCCAGGUAAGGUUCUUCGCGUUGCAUCGAAUUAAACCACAUACUCCACUGCUUGUGCGGGUCCCCGUCAAUUCCUUUGAGUUUCAGUCUUGCGACCGUACUCCCCAGGCGGAUCACUUAACGCGUUAGCUUCGACACUGAAAGUCUUACGACUUCCAACACCUAGUGAUCAACGUUUACUGCGUGGACUAC
rnacentral:misc_RNA from 1 species